UCAGUGGUAGCUUAGCGGUUAUGACGCUGGACUAAAGAUCAGAAGGUCAUGAGUUCAAAUCCUAGCACAGAG